rnacentral:rRNA from 1 species
CCUACGGGAGGCUGCAGUGGGGAAUAUUGGGCAAUGGGCGCAAGCCUGACCCAGCAACGCCGCGUGAAGGAAGAAGGCUUUCGGGUUGUAAACUUCUUUUCUGAGGGACGAAGAAAGUGACGGUACCUCAGGAAUAAGCCACGGCUAACUACGUGCCAGCAGCCGCGGUAAUACGUAGGUGGCAAGCGUUAUCCGGAUUUAUUGGGUUAAAAGGGUGCGCAGGCGGAAGAUCAAGUCAGCGGUAAAAUUGAGAGGCUCAACCUCUUCGAGCCGUUGAAACUGGUUUUCUUGAGUGAGUGAGAAGUAUGCGGAAUGCGUGGUGUAGCGGUGAAAUGCAUAGAUAUCACGCAGAACUCCGAUUGCGAAGGCAGUUCACUGGACUGCAACUGACACUGAGGCUCGAAAGUGUGGGUAUCAAACAGGAUUAGAUACCCCUGUAGUC